rnacentral:lncRNA from 1 species
GGGGAACGUAAUAGGGGUAUUAUUGUUGAUAACAUUAUGGGUACGUCCCAUUUUUUCGAUUUGCAUAGCUUCUUUCAUCUUCAGCUCUUUACAGUCUCGUACAGGUUUCAAGAGAGUUGCCUCUGCCCAGUUGAUGUUGAUUGUGUGUUCAUAGGCUUUAUACGCCAGUGCAGUUGUCAGUCUGGCUGCAGCUAUGUCCGCUUUAUGUUCCUUUAUCUUUCUCUCAAGGCUUCUGCUCAUGCUUCCUAUGUAGUACUGCCACUUAUUCUGUUCCAUAUCAUAAAAGGGGAUGGCAUACACUCUGGGCCUCUUGUGUCUUAGAAUUGUACUCUUAUCAUUUCGGAAGAUAUUAAAGGUACUAGCCCCUCUUCUUAGGGCCAUCCUAUAUUUCCC